UACGUAGGGGGCGAGCGUUAUCCGGAUUUACUGGGCGUAAAGCGCGUUAAGGCGGUUGGCAAAGUUGGUGGUGAAAUCUCAGGGCUCAACCCUGAAACUGCCUCCAAUACUGGUCGACUAGAGUGCAAGAGAGGAAGGUGGAAUUCCCGGUGUAGUAGUGAAAUGCGUAGAUAUCUGGAGGAACACCGGUGGCGAAGGCGGCAUCCUGGACCGGUAUUGACGCUGAGGCGCGAAAGCCAGGGGAGCAAACGGG
rnacentral:rRNA from 1 species